GUGGGGAAUCUUAGACAAUGGGCGCAAGCCUGAUCUAGCCAUGCCGCGUGAGCGAUGAAGGCCUUAGGGUUGUAAAGCUCUUUCAGCUGGGAAGAUAAUGACGGUACCAGCAGAAGAAGCCCCGGCUAACUCCGUGCCAGCAGCCGCGGUAAUACGGAGGGGGCUAGCGUUGUUCGGAAUUACUGGGCGUAAAGCGCACGUAGGCGGAUCAGAAAGUCAGAGGUGAAAUCCCAGGGCUCAACCUUGGAACUGCCUUUGAAAAUCCUGAUCUGGAGGUCGAGAGAGGUGAGUGGAAUUCCGAGUGUAGAGGUGAAAUUCGUAGAUAUUCGGAGGAACACCAGUGGCGAAGGCGGCUCACUGGCUCGAUACUGGCGCUGAGGUGCGAAAGCGUGGGGAGCAAACAGGAUUAGAAACCCGGGUAGUCC
rnacentral:rRNA from 1 species